rfam:Cavia porcellus supercont2_4 genomic scaffold, whole genome shotgun sequence.
GGGGAUUUAGCUCAGCGGCAUAAGCGCCUGCCUUGCAAGCAGGCAGUCGUGAGUUCGAUCCACAGUACCAA